UACGGAGGGUGCAAGCGUUAUCCGGAUUCACUGGGUUUAAAGGGUGCGUAGGUGGGUUGAUAAGUCAGUGGUGAAAUCCCCGAGCUUAACUUGGGAACUGCCAUUGAUACUAUUGAUCUUGAAUACCGUGGAGGAUAGCGGAAUAUGUCAUGUAGCGGUGAAAUGCUUAGAUAUGACAUAGAACACCAAUUGCGAAGGCAGCUGUCUACCCGAAUAUUGACACUGAGGCACGAAAGCGUGGGGAUCAAACAGG
rnacentral:rRNA from 1 species